rnacentral:rRNA from 1 species
UAGGGAAUCUUCCACAAUGGACGCAAGUCUGAUGGAGCAACGCCGCGUGAGUGAAGAAGGUCUUCGGAUCGUAAAGCUCUGUUGUUGGUGAAGAAGGAUAGAGGCAGUAACUGGUCUUUAUUUGACGGUAAUCAACCAGAAAGUCACGGCUAACUACGUGCCAGCAGCCGCGGUAAUACGUAGGUGGCAAGCGUUGUCCGGAUUUAUUGGGCGUAAAGCGAGCGCAGGCGGAAUGAUAAGUCUGAUGUGAAAGCCCACGGCUUAACCGUGGAACUGCAUCGGAAACUGUCAUUCUUGAGUGCAGAAGAGGAGAGUGGAACUCCAUGUGUAGCGGUGGAAUGCGUAGAUAUAUGGAAGAACACCAGUGGCGAAGGCGGCUCUCUGGUCUGCAACUGACGCUGAGGCUCGAAAGCAUGGGUAGCGAACAGG